CUUAAGCAUAUCAAUAAGCGGAGGAAAAGAAACCAACCGGGAUUGCCUUAGUAACGGCGAGUGAAGCGGCAAAAGCUCAAAUUUGAAAUCUGGUACCUUCGGUGCCCGAGUUGUAAUUUGGAGAGGGCAACUUUGGGGCCGUUCCUUGUCUAUGUUCCUUGGAACAGGACGUCAUAGAGGGUGAGAAUCCCGUGUGGCGAGGAGUGCGGUUCUUUGUAAAGUGCCUUCGAAGAGUCGAGUUGUUUGGGAAUGCAGCUCUAAGUGGGUGGUAAAUUCCAUCUAAAGCUAAAUAUUGGCGAGAGACCGAUAGCGAACAAGUACAGUGAUGGAAAGAUGAAAAGAACUUUGAAAAGAGAGUGAAAAAGUACGUGAAAUUGUUGAAAGGGAAGGGCAUUUGAUCAGACAUGGUGUUUUGUGCCCUCUGCUCCUUGUGGGUAGGGGAAUCUCGCAUUUCACUGGGCCAGCAUCAGUUUUGGUGGCAGGAUAAAUCCAUAGGAAUGUAGCUUGCCUCGGUAAGUAUUAUAGCCUGUGGGAAUACUGCCAGCUGGGACUGAGGACUGCGACGUAAGUCAAGGAUGCUG
rnacentral:rRNA from 1 species